UACGGGGGGGGUAAGCGUUGUUCGGAAUUACUGGGCGUAAAGGGCUCGUAGGCGGCCAACUAAGUCAGACGUGAAAUCCCUCAGCUUAACUGGGGAACUGCGUCUGAUACUGGAUGGCUUGGAUUCGGGAGAGGAAUGCGGAAUUCCAGGUGUAGCGGUGAAAUGCGUAGAUAUCUGGAGGAACACCGGUAGCGAAGGCGGCAUUCUGGACCAUAACUGACACUGAGAGACGAAAGCCAGGGGAGCAAACGGG
rnacentral:rRNA from 1 species